UACAGAGGGUGCGAGCGUUGUCCGGAAUCACUGGGCGUAAAGGGCGCGUAGGUGGCGAUCCAAGUCCAUGGUGAAAGCUCGAUGCUCAACAUCGAGUCGGCCACGGAUACUGGGUUGCUUGAGCACUGUAGGGGCAGAUGGAAUUCCGGGUGUAGCGGUGGAAUGCGUAGAGAUCCGGAAGAACACCGGUGGCGAAGGCGGCCCGCUGGGAUACUUGCUGACGCUGAGGCGCGACAGCGUGGGGAACAAACAGG
rnacentral:rRNA from 1 species